AGUGGGAUAGCUGGGUCAAAUGGUGGUUCCACUCCAGGUUUCUGAGGAAUCUCCAUAUGGCUUUCCAAACUGGUUGCACCAAUUUGCAGUCCCACCAGCAAU
rnacentral:pre_miRNA from 1 species